AUGGCGAGCGGGGCGGACCGCAUCAGCGCCCUCCCGGAGGACAUCCUCCACCACGUGCUCCGCCUCCUGCCGGCUCAUGAGGUGGUGCGGACGUGCUUGCUCGCCCGCCACUGGCGCGGCGUCUGGAGGUCCGUGCCCACCCUCCGCUUCACCGGGGCCAAGGGGUGGGGCAGCGCCGACAUGUUCGCCCAAUUUGUGGACCACUUGCUCCACCUCAGGUACGAGGGCGACGGUCCGCCUCUGGAUUCCUGCGAUUUCGACUUUGAUUCCGACGGAUUCAUGCUGUUGCCCGCUAAGGAGUGGCAUGCGAGCACCUGGCUCUGGAAAGCCCUGCCUCGUGUUCGGGCUCUCCGGCUCCGGCUUCGUAUUGUCGACGAGCAGGAAGCCUUGCCACUAUCUUAUAUGCAUCUCUUCUCCCAGCACCUCACGAGAUUAGAGCUUGUUGGUGUCUCUUUCAACAACAGCGUCGCUGAUUUUUCAGGCUGUCCGGCAUUGGUGGAACUGAGUAUGGAUACUUGUGACGUCUUUAUGAAACAACUGCUGUCUCCAUCCUUGAAACAUCUGCGAAUUGCCCGCUGCUAUAUUUCUGAUCGUUACCGCAUUCUUAUUUCUCUACGAGCAUUGUGGUGCUUAACGAGCAUUGUGCUGAUCAAUGCUCUCAGGAUCGGCUUGAUAGUUGUGGUGCUGGGAGAAGAGAUAUUUGUUAUGGUUGUUAUUAUUAUUAUGGAGAUCCUGGACAUGGGCCUCAUUAUGACCGCAACGACUGCAUCUUUCUCAAAGGUUUAUCAGAAGCCACAGACUUGGAGUUGUCAGCUGAUUCUGUUGUGGGAUUUGAAGUGGUGCCCUACAUUUACCAAGUUAAAGACUUUGCUACUAAAUGAUUGGUGUUUGGCUGCUGACCACAAUGCACUAAUUUGCUUUCUCCAACACUCACCAAUUUUGGAGAAGCUUACCCUUCAACUUUCUGAGGGACCUUCAUAUGUAACUGAAGCAGAAGGAAUAUACAAACCAUUGGGACAGUCAGUUGCAUCCAACUGUCUUAAGAUUGUUGAAAUCGAAUGUGCAAAUGUUGAUAAAAAGGUUUCAAUUUUGUUUGCACUGGUUUCAGCUAAAACUAGAGGUACGAACAUAUGGACUGUUCUUAGAUUCAGGUCUCUUUAA
rnacentral:rRNA from 1 species